CGAAGGGAUGCUAAGCGUUAUCCGGAUUCGAUUGGGUUAAAGGGAGCGUAGGUGGACUGAUAAGUCAGUGGUGAAAUCUUCGAGCUUAACUCGGAAAUUGCCAUUGAUACUGUUGGUCUUGAGUACAGUUGCUGUGGGCGGAAUAUGACAUGUAGUGGUGAAAUACAUAGAGAUGUCAUAGAACACCGAUUGCGAAGGCAGCUCACAAAGCUGUAACUGACACUGAGGCUCGAAAGUGCGGGGAUCAAACAGGAUUAGAUACCCUGGUAGUCCGCACCGUAAACGAUGAUUACUCGCUGCUAGAGGGCAACCUUUAGUGGCUUAGCGAAAGCGAUAAGUAAUCCACCUGGGGAGUACGCCGGCAACGGUG
rnacentral:rRNA from 1 species